rnacentral:rRNA from 1 species
CCUACGGGUGUCAGCAGUGGGGAAUAUUGGGCAAUGGGGGAAACCCUGAUCCAGCGACGCCGCGUGAGUGAAGAAGUAUUUCGGUACGUAAAGCUCUAUCAUCAGGAACGAAAAUUACUGUACCUGGCUAAGAAGCCCUGGCUAAAUACGUGCCAGCAGCCGCGGUCAUACGUAGGGGGCCAGCGUUAUCCGGAUUUACUGGGUGGAAGGGGAGCGUAGACGGUAGUGCAAGUCUGGAGUGAAAUGCCGGGGCCCAACCCCGGAACUGCUCUGGAAACUGUGAAGCUGGAGUGCAGGAGAGGUAAGCGGAAUUCCCGGUGUAGCGGUGAAAUGCGUAGAUAUUAGGAGGAACACCGGCGGCGAAGGCGGCCUACUGGACUGUAACUGACGCUGAGGCUCGAAGGCGUGGGGAGCAAACAGGAUUAGAUACCCGAGUAGUC